GACGAACGCUGGCGGCGUGCUUAACACAUGCAAGUCGAACGGAAAGGCCCUUCGGGGUGCUCGAGUGGCGAACGGGUGAGUAACACGUGGGUGAUCUGCCCUGCACUUCGGGAUAAGCCUGGGAAACUGGGUCUAAUACCGGAUAGGACCACGGCCUGCAUGGGUUGUGGUGGAAAGCUUUUGCGGUGUGGGAUGGGCCCGCGGCCUAUCAGCUUGUUGGUGGGGUGAUGGCCUACCAAGGCGUCGACGGGUAGCCGGCCUGAGAGGGUGUCCGGCCACACUGGGACUGAGAUACGGCCCAGACUCCUACGGGAGGCAGCAGUGGGGAAUAUUGCACAAUGGGCGCAAGCCUGAUGCAGCGACGCCGCGUGGGGGAUGACGGCCUUCGGGUUGUAAACCUCUUUCAGCACAGACGAAGCGCAAGUGACGGUAUGUGCAGAAGAAGCACCGGCCAACUACGUGCCAGCCGCCGCGGUAAUAC
rnacentral:rRNA from 1 species